rnacentral:lncRNA from 1 species
UCAAAAACCUCAAUUAUAAAUAUGACUUUUGGAGUCAUUAGGAUUAUUAUUUUCCAUCACAACUUUAGUCACCAAAGUGAAACUAUAUACUCAAACAUUCAAACACUCAUAACUUUCUAUUGAUUAAUGAAAUUCAAUUCCAUCCAUUGCGUUAUACCUUUAGGAUCAAAAGAAUCUCAUAACAUGUUUCGGGUUUCUGAAGUUUACAUUGUGAAUUGAGCGGCCAAGUUUCAGUUAGGUUUUACAACCACUAGAGUUAUCACUCCAUCCCAUCUUCGCCAGAGAUGAGCAUGAGUGCGAGUUCUUAGUGAUUUAGAGUUAGGAUUACUUGAGUGAUGCUUCAAGCUCACCUCAUUCCUUGUUGGAUUGCAAUCUUUUAUUAACUAUAUUUUAUCUAUCGAUUUUGAUUUUCAUGUUUUCAUUUCAUUUCAUCUGCAUCUUUGUGGUUAAGCUCAUCAUGAGCUAAACCCCUUCUUGUACAUUAUACAUGAUGAGGUUAUGAUAUUCUUUGCUUAAUAUUUAUAAAUCUAUAACUUCGCGCUUCUUUCAAACAAACUGUUUUAACUCAAAAUCUUUGAAAGUGAAACUUGAUCACUUUAUUUUUUAUGUUAUAGUUCCCUGAGACCGAGAGGGUAUCAAAUUGUAAAAUGUUUGUUUGAUAAGAGUUACGUCUCUACGGACCGAGAAGUGACAGAAACAAGAGAUAUUGUUUUGAACAAAAACUAGAUCUUGGAAGAGUCUGAAGCGCUGAGAUCUAAUUAGGACUCUUGUCAAAGGCAAUGAUUCAUCCUUUACCAUCGUUGUUGAGUUACUUAUGACAUAACCUAGUAAUUUGGCAUGCUAAGUAGUUUGAUUGUACCCCGAGAGGUGUGUCUUUACAAGCAUAACACGACAGCUGAGUCGAAAGACCUCAAAGGCCACCAGGUUAUGUGAUUGACAGACACUUGACAUCAGGUUAUUGCUCUUUUAUUUGGAGAAACUUGGUUACUUGGAGGAGUAAAAAGCAACCUGUUGUAUCUCGUAGUUCGACAGAAGCCGAAUUUAGAGCUUUGUCUCAAGGUAUUUGUGAGGGAAUAUGGUUAAAAAGGGUGUUUCAUGAAAUUGGAGUCAUCAAUUAUGUUCCUAUAAAGGUGUUGUGUGAUAGUCAGUCUACCAUCAACAUUGCUAAGAAUCCAGUUCAUCACGACAUGACAAAACAUCUCGAGAUUGAUCGUCAAUUUAUUAAAGAAAAAAUUGAAAAUGGGACUUUAUCACUUUAAUAUACUCUUACAAGUCAACAACCUGCAGACAUUCUCACCAAAGCAGUACCAAGAAAAACCUUUGACAAGCUUAUAUCCAAGCUAGGAUUGUUCAACAUCUACAACCUAGCUUGAGGGGGAGUGUGGAAAUAUGCCACAAAUUAUUAGCAUUAUUUAUUUCCUAGAAUAAGAGGGAUCUGGGAAUUAUAUUACUUUGACCCUUCAUAGUUUAUUUCCAUUUUCAUUCUCCAUGUUUACGAGGAGUUAUUUUUGUUUAUGAGUAGUCAUUGUAUUUACUUUUCUGUUUCCUAGACUGAUGGUGGUUGUGUGCCUGAUCCCUCUAUUUAAACCUUGUAACUAUUUUAUUCC